CUACGCAGCUUUAUCCCUGCGUGCAGAUCUACGUAGUUACCACGUCUUGGAGGAGCACAUCGGCAACCCAUCGCCACGUUGCUUGCCAUGCUACCUAAACAAGCUCCUGAUUGGUGGAUCAGAGGUGGUAAUAAACUGGAAUGGAGGCCCUUGGAUGCCGCGACAUUCCGAUCAGACACUUCAUCAUCCGAGAGAAAGAGAACUGAGCUUCUUGCUCGAAUUGAG
rnacentral:misc_RNA from 1 species